rnacentral:rRNA from 1 species
UACGUAGGGUGCAAGCGUUGUCCGGAAUUAUUGGGCGUAAAGAGCUCGUAGGCGGCUCGUCGCGUCGGCUGUGAAAACCUGGGGCUCAACCCCGGGCCUGCAGCCGAUACGGGCGGACUCGAGUUCGGCAGGGGAGACUGGAAUUCCUGGUGUAGCGGUGAAAUGCGCAGAUAUCAGGAGGAACACCGGUGGCGAAGGCGGGUCUCUGGGCCGAUACUGACGCUGAGGAGCGAAAGCGUGGGGAGCGAACAGG